ensembl:lncRNA
UGGCUCAACGCCUCCCCCCUCUGAUUUGUCCACCUCUCAGCUGCAGCAGUCUCUUGCAGAGUAAAAGGGAUCCCAGCUCCUUGUUUGAAUGCUGUGGGGUUUCGAGUAGAAAAAGAAAUACUGCUCCUUUAAAGAGAAGAGUUUCAGGUGAUAGAGGCCCUUCUUGCUGGCGAAGACUGGAGGGAGAGCUGGGGCCUCAGCCCAGCUUCGGGGUGGCCUCAAUUGGCCCGGACUGACUAAUAAAGUGUGAAAUUGACUUUAUCCUCCACCAUGUCUCCCAGCCAGAGUGUCCCUGUAGCAUCUCCCUCUGCCACAACUGAUGCAGCACUGCGGCCGUCCCCUCUGUCGCUGGUAGACAGGCAGAUCAUCAACGCCCACGCAGCCCCGGCUGGCGCUCUGCAGAGCCCAUGAAGCCGUUUGGCCUCGGGCCAGGAUGGGCCUACAAAGCCAGAAGCAUCUGAUGUGGCAUGUCUGACGCACCUCCUAAGCCAGCCGCUGGCUGCUCCUGUCCCUGUUUACUCCUCUGGCACUGGCUUCUAAGGCAGGGGCGGGAGCUGGAGGGAGAGACAGCGUUAGGUGAGCUCUUUGAGACUCCCCCCACCCCGCCCUGCCUGUUGCACCAAAUGCAAGGUUGGAGCAUCAGAGCAAAAGGAACCUCAGAAAGCAAUGAAAUCUGGGUGCUCAGGGGAGCCGCUGGGGGCCUUAGGGGCUGCUUGGGGGGAUAUGGGAGGGCCUGAAACCCCUCCUUCCACCAGGACAGGGCCAUUUUUUGAUCUAUUUUUUAAAUUUGAUCCUGUUUAAGAUUUCCCAGGAAGAAAAGGAUUCCAUGACUCUAAGAAGUCCUAAAACCAAUGAUCUAUCCAGCAGUCAUUCCCAAAGCUGCCUGUGCAUCGGGAUCAACUGGGUGACUUGUCCUCUCCCAUAGCCAGUAAGGCUGAAGAAGUCCUGAAGAAAUGCUGGACUUGCCCUUCAACAUCCAGAGGUGCCCUUCCUGGCUCUACUUCCCUCGUCCUCUGCUGGGCUGCCACCAGUUCACCGGGUUGCUGGGAGGACUGAUAACAGCAUGUGUGGUGGUUGACAUGUGCUGUUGUCUGCCCAUCACCCAUUUCCCCUGCAUCUAAUUACAGAAUGCCCCUUGUCCCUUAGGCACCCACCCUUUCCCACUCUCAAGUCAUGUGGUAUAAGCAGCACUGACCCUCAUGGUACCCCCAAUUCUAAUGGGGUCUCUUCCCCUGCAUCCUGGGGUGUGUGACUUGGGCCUGUUCAAUCUCUGUGUUCCAUGCCUCUUGCCACAAGACUUGAUUUGAGAUGGACAACAAACCCAGUCUAUUCUAUAAGAGUCAAUUCCUGGACCUUGGGCUCAAACUCUUGGGGGAGAGAAAUUCUGUUUCUAGUAGGGUUGUCGAGCUGCAAGAUUUGAGUCUGGAGCUUUCAACAACCAUUUUCCAGCUUCCUAGGGGAAAGCUAGUCUGAGAAUGAAGUUAGCACAGAGCCAAGGGACCAAGACACAGAGACCCUAAGCUGCUGGAUCCACCUGGGCCUGAUGCCAGACAACCCUGUACAUCUCAGUCACAUGAACCAAUAAAUUUUCCUUUCUUGGUCAACCUGAUCUGAGUUGACAUUCUGCUCCUUGCAAUAAAAAAAAAAUAACUAAUAUAGCAUGAGUUUUUGAAAAAGCUGAACUAUGUUCUUCUUUGGCUGAGUCAUAUAUGUAUAAAGGGGAGUAGGAGAGAAAAGGUUGGGAAAUUAGGCUGCAGAUACACGGCAGGGGGCCUUGAAGACUUGAGAUGGGCCACCCAGUCUCUGAGACCACCUGAACACAGGAUCUCCUGAGGCCAGGUGAUCCUAGGAGU